GGUAAUAACUCAGUGGUAGAGUGCAUGCUUAGCAUGCAGGAGGUCCUGGGUUCAAUCCCUAGUACUUCCA
rnacentral:tRNA from 1 species